rnacentral:rRNA from 1 species
GACGAACGCUGGCGGCGUGCCUAAUACAUGCAAGUCGAGCGAGUCUGCCUUGAAGAUCGGAGUGCUUGCACUCUGUGAAACAAGAUACAGGCUAGCGGCGGACGGGUGAGUAACACGUGGGUAACCUGCCCAAGAGAUCGGGAUAACACCUGGAAACAGAUGCUAAUACCGGAUAACAACAGAUGAUGCCUAUCAACUGUUUAAAAGAUGGUUCUGCUAUCACUCUUGGAUGGACCUGCGGUGCAUUAGCUAGUUGGUAGGGUAACGGCCUACCAAGGCGAUGAUGCAUAGCCGAGUUGAGAGACUGAUCGGCCACAUUGGGACUGAGACACGGCCCAAACUCCUACGGGAGGCAGCAGUAGGGAAUCUUCCACAAUGGACGCAAGUCUGAUGGAGCAACGCCGCGUGAGUGAAGAAGGGUUUCGGCUCGUAAAGCUCUGUUGUUGGUGAAGAAGGACAGGGGUAGUAACUGACCUUUGUUUGACGGUAAUCAAUUGGAAAGUCACGGCUAACUACGUG